GUGCCAAAAAGACCGCUACGUUGCAAAGGUGUUACAGCUGGAGCUAACUAGAGCCAAUUAGAACCUGCUGUUGUCGUUCAUCAUCUCCUAUAAAAGCUUCCAUGGUUGGUCUUUUUCAAAACUCUCAUUGGAACAAUGGCUGCCCUUUGGGUUCUGGCUGGGCUGCUGUAUGCAGUCUUCAUGAAUAAAGGUCUUUGUUUUCCAGGUGGAAUGAAACAAGGAGCAUCUAAUCUGUUUCAAGGUCUACAUGAUUUAUUUCCUCUUUUGAAAUUGAAAGCUGUAUAUCUCCGUUCUUUGGAUUUUGGUGUUAGACUACAUACCCCAGCCCAACCAGCAAGCGAUAAGCCAUUAAAAGAUGAUGCAAGAGGAACAACAUGAGCAGCAAUGGCCAACAGGACUCCUUCAGCUAUAACAUGACCAUAGGUCACCACGAUGACUCAGUCAGCCACGACCAGCAACGUGAGCAAGGGGCACCACCGCCACGACGACUCAGUCGGCUACAAUUUGAGCACGGGACAGAAAUGAGUCAUUUCAACAAGUCCAGAAUGUCAAGCAGACCACAAAGAGCCAUCAGGCUCUCAAGCUGUGUGACAAUGGGUCAGGCUACUAGAACAAACUUGACGAAACAUAUGAACUCUUUGUGUAAGGAAUGGGUGAGCUGUGUCAUGUAACUACUUGUGGCAGACAAUUAAAAUCUUUAAUGUCA